UACGGGGGGGGGCAAGCGUUGUUCGGAAUUACUGGGCGUAAAGGGCUCGUAGGUGGCCAACUAAGUCAGACGUGAAAUCCCUCGGCUUAACCGGGGAACUGCGUCUGAUACUGGAUGGCUUGAGUUCGGGAGAGGGAUGCGGAAUUCCAGGUGUAGCGGUGAAAUGCGUAGAUAUCUGGAGGAAUACCGGUGGCGAAGGCGGCAUCCUGGACCGAGAUUGACGCUGAUGAGCGAAAGCUAGGGGAGCAAACGGGG
rnacentral:rRNA from 1 species